CGCAACUUCAAGCAGUAAUUUAUACAGCAUAUGAUUCUGGCAUUGGCUCCUGUAAUGACUUCGCCACCUGAUUUUCAAAAACAACAUCAGAUGGGAGAUGACUUAAUCUACAGACUGAAAGUGAAGAAUACCAGACUGAAAGUGAGGAUGACUUCAUCUACAGACUGAAAGUGAAGAAUAACAGACUGAAAGUGAAGAAUACCAAUGUGAUCAUGUUUGUGGCAUUUUUAAUCAACUGUUCAAUUCUCAGGAACAAGCCUGGGGAUGCAGGAUAUAUCCUAUGGGAUUUUUUUUAAAGAUGGUAUUUCACAAUCCUCUAUAUGGAAAAUGAUGAAUAGGACACAUAAUGAAGAUAAACUGAUAUUUUGAAUAGAAUUCCCUUUCAAAGACCAUACAUCCAGGUUAGUUUGCACAAUGCAUGCUAUUUAAGAAUCAUAGAAGGAAUAAUGUUCAAAUAAUUCAUAAUAUAUAUAAUAAUUUUAUUUUAUAUGCAUUACCCCUACUUUGAGCUAGAGAGGACUCAAUCAGACAGAUAAAGGGGAUACAUUUUAUAGUUGACAUUUAGUUAUAUUAUUAU